rnacentral:rRNA from 1 species
CAUUUUAAGAGUUUGGUCCUGGCUCAGCUUAAAUGGUAUCUAGCAGGUGAAGACAUGCAAGUCCUUCGGAAUUGGGCGUAGAGGUGAGGAUAGCUAAGUAAAAACGACAUGAUCAUUUGCUUAGCUCCCAAUAGGUAGUAGGCGAGGUAAAAGCUCAACUAGCCAUAGAUGGGUAGGGUAAGAUGAAAGUUUUUAUCCCACAAUGGGUGUGAAAUUCACCCAAGGCAUCAUUAGAUGUACAGCAGUCACAAAUUAUUGUCAAUAAGCAUAUAUAUCAAUCGGUAUACUAAGCUUGAACAUGCUAGCUAGAAUCUAUAAUAUCCUGUAUUAUAGACACAACCUAAUGAAAACUGACUUUUAGGUUUGUGAAGUUCUUCCAAAUGAUCGUGCCAGCAGGAGCCGUUACACGAUUAGAGCAACCAUUAAGCCACAUACAUAUGCGUAAAGCGUGCGUAGACUGAGAUAAGAUUUUUUGUUUAACUUAUUUCUUGUAUUGAAUAGAUGUAAUAAGAACGACUAGAGGAACGAUGAAAUGUGUUGAUCCUGGUUUGACUACUAAAGGCGAAGGCUUGUUACAUUUACUGAUAGACGUUAAAGCACGAAGGUAAGGGCAGUAACUAAGAUUAGAUACCUUAUUAAUCCCUACUGUAAACUAUGAGUACUAGAAUUUUAGAUUGAGAAUGAUAAGAUUUGCUGCUAACGCGGUAAGUACUCCGCAACACUAAUAUAUUCGCAAGAGUGAAAAUGAAAGGACUAGACGGUUUCAAAAACCCAGAGUGAAGUAUGUUAUUUAAUGCGAUAAUCCGCGCAAAACCUUACCAUUGCUUGUAUAUUUCACUUUAUGUGAUUUACAGGUGCUGCAUGGCUGUCUUCAAUUCAUGUCUUUAGACGUUAGGUUUAGUCCGCUAAUGAAUGCAAACCUUGCUUCCAAAUCGGAAUUCUUUUCCAAUCGGAGCCUAAUUUGGAGGUAUCCUUUUAAAAUAAGAGGAUUUAUAGGACUAAGACAAGCCUUUAUGGCCCUUAUGCAAUGGGCUAUAGACGUGCCACACAAAUAACUACAAUAGGUUUAAUUAAGAGACCUAAACGGUUAUUCUGUACGAAUUGUAGUCUGAAACUCGGCUACAUGAAGAAGGAAUUCUGAGUAAUCAUGGAUUAGUACGCCAUGGUGAAGAUUCUAUUUGAGAUGUACUAACUGCACAUCACACGAGGGGAAUGAUAGGUUGUGUAAGUACUCUAUAAAUUUAGGUUACGUAAUAAUCGUCAUGACUCUUGUGAAGUUGUAACACGGAUACUGUACGGGAACGUGCAGUAGAUAGAUAACAUCU